rnacentral:rRNA from 1 species
UACGUAGGCAGCGAGCGUUGUUCGGAAUUACUGGGCGUAAAGGGCGCGUAGGUGGUUACUUAAGUCAGAUGUGAAAUCCCUGGGCUUAACCUAGGAAUUGCAUUUGAAACUGAGUAGCUAGAGUAUGGGAGAGGGAAGUGGAAUUUCCGGUGUAGCGGUGAAAUGCGUAGAUAUCGGAAGGAACACCAGUGGCGAAGGCGACUUCCUGGCCCAUUACUGACGCUGAGGCGCGAAAGCGUGGGGAGCAAACAGG